GACGAACGCUGGCGGCGUGCUUAAGCACAUGCAAGUCGAACGCGAAAGGGGAGCAAUCCCCAAGUAGAGUGGCGAACGGGUGAGUAACGCGUGAAGAACCUGCCUUCAACAGGGGAUAACACUCCCAACGGGUAGCUAAUACCGCAUGAGACCACGGGUCUGCAUGGACCUGAGGUCAAAGGUGGCCUCUACUUGCAAGCUACCGGUUGAAGAUGGCUUCGCGUCCCAUAGCUAGUUGGCGGUGUAAAAGACCACCAAGGCGACGAUGGGUAGCUGGUCUGAGAGGAUGGUCAGCCACACUGGGACUGAGAUACGGCCCAGACUCCUACGGGA
rnacentral:rRNA from 1 species